rnacentral:lncRNA from 1 species
GUCAUCAGUUUCGUAUACACUUGUACCUUUAUAAAAUCAAAUGCAUACAUCUUAUUCAUUAUACUCUAUGCACUAUAAUUUCUCAAAAAGUUUAUGUAUAACAUUAUGUAUUGUACUGUCUUGUUCUGUUUACAAGAAAAAAGGUACACAGAGAUAAAUACAGUAAUUGCAAGUUUUAUUUUAUUCAUUAGGUAAUAUUCCAGGUAAAUAAAGGCAACAGUAGUAUACCGCCGUCAAAACUCAUAAAUCUAUGGAAAAAAAAAAAAAAAAAAAAAUCGGGAUCACAAACUAAAACUGAGGGAAACGCAUUAAAUAUUAGAGAAGAACAAUGACACAACAUUAAAAUGUAACACACACAGCAACGGGCUAAGCAUUAGACAACAUCCGAUGAGAAAAACCAAUAUAACAUCAAAACCAAAUACAUGAAUUUGGGAUAGAAAAGUAAAAACAAAGUAAACACAAAAUGACUUCUAAUCUGACUUAUACGUACAUUAUCGACAUCGUUUACAUGUUUUUAGUGAUUGACACACGAAACUUAAACUUAAAAUUUAGGUAGAUUUUAUUUUUUAUUUUUAUAGAGCAAUGCAUGUCGAGGGUAAUACACCAAGAAGACAACCCAACAACAAAAAUAAGCAAAAUGCAUGUCGAGGGUAACGCCCAUAGAGAAAUGCAUGUCGAGGGUAACGCUCAUAGAGAAAUGCAUGUCGAGGGUAACGCCCAUAGAGAAAUGCAUGUCGAGGGUAACGCUCAUAGAGAAAUUGAAGUUCUCGAAUAGUUGACAUAUGACAAAGACAUUAUUUGAAUGUUGAAGAUUAUAAAUCGAUUUCAAUGGACUUUUUAGACACAAGGCUGCUGUUACAUGGCUGUACACUUUCUUCCGAUCCAUUUUCUCUAAUGGCUACUUACGAAUAUUCGUUCUAAUAUCAAAAAUGCAAACUUAAGCCUUUAUAAUAUAUUAUAAUAUGAUGUUUGUUUUAAAUAUAUUUCUCAAAUUUGUGAGCAUAUUAACGUGCUUGCUUUUAUAUGUUAAUGACUAACAGUACAAUACUAUAAGUACAAUUUUGUAUUUGUAAUGUUUUGUUCUAUAUUGACAAAAUGUAUCAAGUGAUUAUAAAAGUUCACAAACAUUAGGAUGAUAGUAUAACAAAAGAUAUUGAAUUGAAGAAAAACUUGAAAGUACAACAUGUCGUACAAUAUAUAUCUGUCAAAUAUGGAUUUGCAAAAUAAUUAUCAAUCAUUUCAUGAUGUAAUAACAUUAACGUAACUAAUUGUACAGCACCUAGGGCUUACUUCUUCAAUUCAUUUCUCAUUUUUGAUACCCGAGUGGUCUAUAUUUGAACAUCCUAAACGCAAUACAAACACAGAAGAUCUGAUGAUUAACAAUCUAUAGAUAACUACUCAUUAGUCUGUCAAAGUAAUUUCAGGUGAAAUACUUCGCACGGUCAUUCUGUAUUACUGUUCGCCAAUCAAUGUAUGACCAGUAGCACGUC